rnacentral:misc_RNA from 1 species
AUAUAUAUAUCAACCCUCUUUUGUUGAGUGGUUUGGAUGUGAGGGUUUGCUGAAUUCUUAAAAGGGUUCAGCUCCCUUGAAAUGCAUUAGCAGAACAACCUGUUCAUUGGUGUGAUAACUAUCUACACUAUUGAAUGCAAUGGCUAGUUCAGCUUUCUAACAGUCCUUGUGGACAAUUUAUCAUUA